rnacentral:rRNA from 2 species
UGGGGAAUAUUGGACAAUGGGGGCAACCCUGAUCCAGCGACGCCGCGUGUGUGAAGAAGGCCUGCGGGUUGUAAAGCACUUUUAGUGGGGAUGAAAAGCCAGGGGCUAAUACCCUUUGGUCUUGACCUAACCCAAAGAAAAAGCACCGGCUAACUCUGUGCCAGCAGCCGCGGUAAUACAGAGGGUGCAAGCGUUAAUCGGAAUUACUGGGCGUAAAGCGUGCGUAGUCGGCCAUUCAAGUCGGGUGUGAAAGCCCCGGGCUCAACCUGGGAAUUGCAUUCGAAACUGGGUGGCUAGAGUUCGGCAGAGGGAAGUGGAAUUUCUGGUGUAGCGGUGAAAUGCGUAGAUAUCAGAAGGAACAUCAGUGGCGAAAGCGACUUCCUGGACCAGAACUGACGAUCAGGCACGAAAGCGUGGGGAGCAAACAGG